UUCAUUCAACUUUUUCUUUCUCCCUCAUAAUUUCCACCGAUGCAUUUCCGACAAAUUUCUCCCCCUUUCUUUCCGUGACACUAAGAAUUGGCACAUGCAGCCAAAUUGUGGGAAUUUCGAGAAUUGACACUAGUAGUCAAUAUUGAGGGAAAAGAGUUGGCACAGGUAGCCAAAUUGUGGGCAUUUCGAGAACUGACACUGGUAGUCAGUACCGUGGGAAGAGAAUUGACACGAGU
rnacentral:lncRNA from 1 species